rnacentral:lncRNA from 12 species
UGAAUGAGUCCUGAGAGAAUGCCCUCUCACACCACAGAGCAAAUGGCCGAGAAGAGGGAGGGGGCAAGAGGAAUGGGGGUAGGGCCUGCUGUUUGUGUAUGUGAGUGUUGAAGGGUUUGUGUAUCCAGAGCCACUGAGUACAGGACAGAGAAGGUGGCUCUGCUGGAGUUCCUGAAAUCAGGCAUUGCUGACCCAACUCUGGACUAUCAUGAGCAGGGAGCUGCUAGGUCGCAGCAGGGACAAGGAAUACUGUCACGUCACGCUUAGCCUUGACGCUGCUUUUGGAUAUCAGAAGGACGUUUGCUAUGGAAAUAGGCUGUUUGUGUUUUAGUUGCUUUAAGGUCUUCAGAGGGAUUUGAGGCACACUCCACACCCUGGCUGCUUAUGAAAGGUGCAGGAAUACUGCGGUUCAACUUUGAUACACCAUGGAGAAGAGGUGAUCCUGUCCUUCUGCAGCUAAAGACAUAUAAUCAAAGGUAUAGUGGUAAAUAUUUUCCAAAAUUAUUUUUUGUUUAUUGCUGCAGCCGUAUUAUUGCAUAGUAGUAGUUAAUAAUCAGAUAUGAGAGCUGUCUCUG